ACGCUGCGGCAGGCUUAAUACAUGCAAGUCGAGGGGCAGCACGGGUAGCAAUAUCUGGUGGCGACCGGCGCACGGGUGCGUAACGCGUAUGCAACCUACCUUUAACUGGGGCAUAGCUCCGAGAAAUCGGGAUUAAUUCCCCAUAACAUUCACUUGAGGCAUCUCAUAUGAAUUAAAGUUUCGGCGGUUAAAGAUGGGCAUGCGUGACAUUAGCUUGUUGGUGAGGUAACGGCUCACCAAGGCUACGAUGUCUAGGGGUUCUGAGAGGAUGAUCCCCCACACUGGUACUGAGACACGGACCAGACUCCUACGGGAGGCAGCAGUAGGGAAUAUUGGGCAAUGGACGCAAGUCUGACCCAGCCAUGCCGCGUGCAGGAUUGACAGCCUUAUGGGUUGUAAACUGCUUUUCUGCAGGAAGAACCCCCCGGUCGUGAUCGGGGCUGACGGUACUGCAGGAAUAAGCAUCGGCUAGCUCCGUGCCAGCAGCCGCGGUAAUACGGAGGGAUGCAAGCGUUAUCCGGAUUUAUUGGGUUUAAAGGGUGCGCAGGCGGAAUAGUAAGUCAGUGGUGAAAUCCCCUCGCUCAACGAGGGAACUGCCAUUGAUACUGUUAUUCUUGAGUUCAGUUGGAGUGGGCGGAAUGUGUUGUGUAGCGGUGAAAUGCUUAGAUAUAACACAGAACACCGAUCGCGAAGGCAGCUCACUAGCUUACCACUGACGCUGAGGCACGAAAGCGUGGGUAUCAAACAGGAUUAGAUACCCUGGUAGUCCACGCUGUAAACGAUGAUCACUAGCUGUUUGCGACAUACUGUAAGUGGCUA
rnacentral:rRNA from 1 species